CGCGUUCGUUUACUAUUUAUAUGACAUUCAUAACUAUGUUCUCUUCUAAAAAUUAUCAGUGAACAGUAUGCUACCCACAUCUUUUUUAUCCACCCUAAGAAGAACAAGAACCAAGCCAACAGUCCCUCUAAUAUUGGUUUUCCACAGGUAUCAUGUACCCAAAGAGUAUGCAUAGUGCCUAGUUGAAAUUAAUCAACCACCCUGGAACUUUCCUUUUAAAAAGGACAUAGAGUAUUACAAGUUUUCAGGAACAGAGAAAACAGUUCUGGAGGCAAGGCUAGUCUAGAGAUUUUCUGCACUAUAUUAGACAACAUCACACAUGACAGUUUUCAGAGCAAGAGGAUUACUGUUAAGUUACUGCAUGGAAACCUAAACUGGGUCUUCUCACUUUUGUCUCUUUUUCCUGCCCUGGAAGAGAAAAACUCCAAUAUGUGCCCUCGUCUGGGUUGCCCAAGACUUGAACAGCUCCUCAGAAGCUCUUGGGACGCUCUCUCUUUGAAUGAGCCAUCACGUGGCGAGAAGCUUAACCGGCAGGAAGAGACAGACUUGCCUGCAGCCUCUCCAAGGGAGGAAAGUCAGAGAAUUUCAGGGCCAUGCUUUAAAAUGCCCUGUGUUGUGGAAAACAUUACGAUGAACAAGAUUUUUUUGCAGUCCAGUCCCAAGCUACGUGAUCAAGCAUCUAUCACUUAAAUUUUGGGCCUCAUCUUGUUCAUCUGUAAAAUGAGGGAUUGGCGUAGGUGACUUCCAGGACCCUUUACAUUUCUUACAGCUGACGAUUUCAGGAAUGAGUGGUGUUCUGAUGCAGCAAGACUUCCCCAGAUCUGUCGUGAGAUGCCGGUAGUGAUUGGGUCUGCUGUGGAUGUGAACAGAUGAAGCCGCAAUGGGUGCCCCAGGAAUUUAAAGGUCACCAAGGAAGAAAGCCAGAACGUGAUGACACAGAGAAGCACAAGCAUUAGAGACACGUGGUCCUUACAGUACUUUACAGUGAGAUUUAAUGCUGCUUCUCUGCCAAACCUUCCUAAAUUAAGGACAUAACAGCCACAAGGCAGUCUGCUAAACCGGAGAUGCCUGAGCAACGCCCCUUCUCCUCUGCCUGCAGGGUGGGGGGUCAGAGUUCUACCUGCCCAGUUCACCCCAGGCUUUCCUAUACAGGCUAUUCCCUUUUCAACCUUUGAAACUUUUUAUCUACUAUCACUGUCCAGACCAACAAACGUUCCU
rnacentral:lncRNA from 1 species